CUCUUCCAGGGGCUGAGUCUGGGCCCCAGGACCCGAGGGCAGGCAGGAAGGAGAAGAUGGGCUCUCCUGGACCCUGGACUCACAGCGAGGCCCCAGUGGGCAGUUCCAGGCCCUGUUCCCUGUGGGCCCUGUGACCGCUGGCCACAGGUGGAUGUUCAGAUGCUACGGCUAUGAGCAGGAACAAUCCCCAGGUGUGGUCGGAGCCCAGUGACACCCUGGAGCUCCUGGUCUCAGCGUCACACACUAGAUCCAGCCACCUCUGAAGAAGCCCCACCUAUGACUGCGUGAGGCUUUGGGGGGACAGCUAGACACAAGCAGAACACCAGGUGUGAGAGACAGGGGAGACCCCCAGGGCAGGACGGGGGGGCAGGGCUGUGGCAGGAAGCAGCCCCUCAGCCCAGGUCCUCCUCCCCCAGGGCUGUCCAGGAAGCCCAUGGGGGUCAUCUGGAGGGGACUCAGCCCUAGAAGGGCAGAAAGCCAAUGGGGUCCUCCCAAGCAUGGUCAUUUUCAUUGCCAUCAUUGGAAUCCUGAAGGUUCCAGGUGGGGAGUGGGAGAGUCAUGUUGAGGCCACAGGGCAGAGGAGAGUAAGC
rnacentral:lncRNA from 1 species